rnacentral:rRNA from 1 species
UUGACCUCAAAUCAGGUAGGACUACCCGCUGAACUUAAGCAUAUCAAUAAGCGGAGGAAAAGAAACUAACAAGGAUUCCCCUAGUAACUGCGAGUGAAGCGGGAAAAGCUCAAAUUUAAAAUCUGGCGGUUCUUGUGGCCGUCCGAGUUGUAAUUUAGAGAAGUGUUAUCCGCGCUGGACCGUGUACAAGUCUCCUGGAAUGGAGCGUCAUAGAGGGUGAGAAUCCCGUCUUUGACACGGACUGCCAGGGCAUUGUGAUACGCUCUCGAAGAGUCGAGUUGUUUGGGAAUGCAGCUCAAAAUGGGUGGUAAAUUCCAUCUAAAGCUAAAUAUUGGGGAGAGACCGAUAGCGAACAAGUACCGUGAGGGAAAGAUGAAAAGAACUUUGGAAAGAGAGUUAAACAGUACGUGAAAUUGCUGAAAGGGAAACGCUUGAAGUCAGUCGCGUCGUUCAGGACUCAGCCUUGCUUUUGCUUGGUGUACUUCUUGUUCGACGGGUCAGCAUCAAUUUUGGUCGGUGGAUAAAGGCUUAGAGAAUGUGGCAUCUUCGGGUGUGUUAUAGCUCUGGGUCGCAUAC